CCCGCUGAACUUAAGCAUAUCAAUAAGCGGAGGAAAAGAAACUAACAAGGAUUCCCCUAGUAACUGCGAGUGAAGCGGGAAAAGCUCAAAUUUGAAAUCUGAUGGUCUUUGACUGUCCGAGUUGUAAUCUAGAGAAGUGUUACCUGUGCUGGACCGUGUACAAGUCUCCUGGAAUGGAGCAUCACAGAGGGUGAGAAUCCCGUCUUUGACAUGGACUGCCUGUACAUUAUGGUGCGCUCUCGAAGAGUCGAGUUGUUUGGGAAUGCAGCUCAAAAUGGGUGGUAAAUGCCAUCUAAAGCUAAAUAUUGGCGAGAGACCGAUAGCGAACAAGUACCGUGAGGGAAAGAUGAAAAGAACUUUGGAAAGAGAGUUAAACAGUACGUGAAAUUGCUGAAAGGGAAACGCUUGAAGUCAGUCACGUCGGCUAGAAAUCAGCCUUGCUUCUGCUUGGUGUACUUUCUGGUUGAUGGGUCAGCAUCAAUUUUGAUCAUCGGAUAAAGUCGUUGGGAAUGUGGCAUCUUUGGAUGUGUUAUAGCCCUAUGUCGCAUACGGUGGUUGGGAUUGAGGAACUCAGCAUGCCCGCAAGGGACGGGUUUUUUUACCACGUUCGUGCUCAGGAUGCUGGCAUAAUGGCUUUAAUCGACCCGUCUUGAAACACGG
rnacentral:rRNA from 1 species